GUGCUGAAGACUCAGACU
rnacentral:misc_RNA from 1 species